rnacentral:lncRNA from 1 species
GGAUCAUGUCAAAUAGACAAAAUGUGAACAGUGCACUUCUCAUGCCUAUAUCCAUGGUGCCCCUGUGGUGUGGUGUGGUGUGGUGUGGUGUGGUGUGGUGUGGUGUGUGUGUGGGGUGUGUGUGUGUGUGUGUGUGUGUGUAUUUUAUCUUGGCUUUAAAAUGCCUUAUGAGUACUCUCUGAGUGAGAAUUCUAAAGUUUCUUAUUAGCUUGCUAAAUAUUUUGUUAAUGGUACAAAUAAAGAAAGCACUUCUCCCUCUUUUUAAAUGUAGAUCUCUCUCUCUAUUUCAUUUAGACAAAACACCUGCAAACACCUGCCUUUUGUGGCACACAGGAAAUUACCACCCAGAGCUCAAAGUUAACACUGGGAGCACAGUCGUGGUCACUCAAUCCCACUUCAGGGAAUUUUUGUGCCCAUCUGUUUGGGAGAUUUGCAGGCAAUAGAAAAGGACUUCAGCAUUGGAGAAGCAACCUUGGAGAAUUCAGAAUCAAUAGGUAAGUACCGUUCAAUCUCUCUGAGUUCCCAUAGGCUCAGGUUAGUUGAUUCUGUAGGUUUUCAUGUGGUGUCCAUGACUGCUCUGGCUCCUUUAAUCUC